rnacentral:rRNA from 1 species
UACGAAGGGGGCUAGCGUUGUUCGGAAUCACUGGGCGUAAAGCGCACGCAGGCGGAUUGAUAAGUCAGGGGUGAAAUCCCGGGGCUCAACCUCGGGAAUUGCCUUUGAUACUGUCUGUCUUGAGUUCGGGAGAGGUUGGCGGAAUUCCUAGUGUAGAGGUGAAAUUCGUAGAUAUUAGGAAGAACACCAGUGGCGAAGGCGGCCAACUGGCCCGAUACUGACGCUCAUGUGCCGAAAGGCGUGGGGGAGCAAACAGG